rnacentral:tRNA from 1 species
GGUAGGUGGCUCAGUGGUAGAGCUCUUGCCUUGCAUGCAUGAGGACCUGGGUUCGAUUCCUCAGUACCA